rnacentral:rRNA from 1 species
UACGUAGGGUGCAAGCGUUAAUCGGAAUUACUGGGCGUAAGGCGUGCGCAGGCGGUUGUGCAAGACCGAUGUGAAAUCCCCGGGCUUAACCUGGGAAUGGCAUUGGUGACUGCACGGCUAGAGUGUGUCAGAGGGGGGUAGAAUUCCACGUGUAGCAGUGGAAUGCGUAGAGAUGUGGAGGAAUACCGAUGGCGAAGGCAGCCCCCUGGGAUAACACUGACGCUCAUGCACGAAAGCGUGGGGAGCAAACAGG